CAUUGUGUAGAUAUUGAAAAGUUCCACUGUGUUGACUGUUGGUUUUUCUGAAUGCAAUAUUGACUGUUUGGCUUUUGUACAGGUACAUUAGUUGCUAGCUCUUGCUUGAGCUUUGCUUUGGAGUGUGGUUGUUACACCAUUGAGGUAAUUUAGCCCUCUUACUCCACGUAGUCUGGAAGUCCUGUCACCUUUUUGGCAGGCAUUUG
rnacentral:lncRNA from 1 species